AUGAAGCCUGUGAUUUCUGAUUCUUUACAACGUUCGCUGGCGCGCAUAGGAUUAGAUAUAUGAAAAUAUAAAACGUAGAUAAUGAAUUAGUUAAGAAAUUAGCCUAAAAGCGUUACCAACCAUUAACUCGGUUUUUCCUUCCUCUUUUUCAAAAGCACAGUUUUCUUUUUCUUUUCCCGGUUCAACCGAACCAAACUUUUCCUACUCAAAUCUAACCCUGAUCACUUCUCCUCUCAGCACCGUUUGGAACCAUGGUCACGCCUCUUCAAGCAUGCAUUGAUGCUAUGUUGAGGUGAGGAGAAGCCACGAAACCUUAUGCACUUCACCCACUUCCUGUUCUUCUAUCUCUUGUUAAUAGUGCUUCUCAUUUUCUUUGAACCAAAACACGCACAAAUAAAGGAGAAGAACAGAGAAGGGAAGCAAAACGAAAUUGAAGAGAAGGAAGAAGCCAUCUGCAGCAAGAAGGAAGGUGCCCCACCUCCCAUCACUCUAAAUCUUCGAAGCUUCUUUGCUGGUGACCAUAGGCAAGAACUCUUCCCUUGCUCGAGUUGAGGUCGGCCAUUCAUUCUUGGAAGAGAGGCCAAAGCUCCAAUUCCGUACGGUUAUGGUUCUGAUUCCGGAAAGAAAUAAAAAUAGAAUUUCCAACUUCAAAAGAGACAGGUCCGGCAGAGGAGCUCUUUGAGUUUCGUUCUAUCCUGAGCUAUGAGAAUCCGGCGCGCGACGGAGUCUUCAUAUGGAGCACGCUUGGGAUCACUUUCUUGGACGAUGUUCGGAGAUCACUCCAGAGUUAGUCGCAGUGGAUAUUCCGCUCUUUUUUUAUGAUCUUAGUAUUACUUUUCCCUCGCUUUUGUAGUACUUUUAGUGGGGUAGGACAUCUUAGUAGUUUGGUUCCAGUUUAGGAAAUCCGUGUGAGGGUUGGGACUAACUUCUUUUUUUGUAUCUGUACAUAUAAUUUGGUGUGAUACUCGGUUUUUGAUAGAUGGCACGUAUCCUUAAA